UGGGGAAUAUUGCACAAUGGGCGCAAGCCUGAUGCAGCAAUGCCGCGUGUGUGAAGAAGGCCUGCGGGUUGUAAAGCACUUUCAGUAGCGAAGAAAAGCCUGAGGUUAAUAGCCUCGAGUCUUGACGUUAGCUACACAAGAAGCACCGGCUAACUCCGUGCCAGCAGCCGCGGUAAUACGGAGGGUGCGAGCGUUAAUCGGAAUUACUGGGCGUAAAGCGCGCGCAGGCGGUUUGGCAAGUCGGAUGUGAAAUCCCCGGGCUUAACCUGGGAAUUGCAUUCGAUACUGUCUGACUAGAAUGUGAUAGAGGUAAGUGGAAUUCCCGGUGUAGCGGUGAAAUGCGUAGAUAUCGGGAGGAACAUCAGUGGCGAAGGCGGCUUACUGGAUCAACAUUGACGCUGAGGCGCGAAAGCGUGGGGAGCAAACAGGAUUAGAUACCCCCGUAGUCC
rnacentral:rRNA from 1 species